rnacentral:rRNA from 1 species
GACGAACGCUGGCGGCGUGCUUAACACAUGCAAGUCGAACGGAAAGGCCCUGCUUUUGUGGGGUGCUCGAGUGGCGAACGGGUGAGUAACACGUGAGUAACCUGCCCUUGACUUUGGGAUAACUUCAGGAAACUGGGGCUAAUACCGGAUAGGAGCUCCUGCUGCAUGGUGGGGGUUGGAAAGUUUCGGCGGUUGGGGAUGGACUCGCGGCUUAUCAGCUUGUUGGUGUGGUAGUGGCUUACCAAGGCUUUGACGGGUAGCCGGCCUGAGAGGGUGACCGGCCACAUUGGGACUGAGAUACGGCCCAGACUCCUACGGGAGGCAGCAGUGGGGAAUAUUGCACAAUGGGCGGAAGCCUGAUGCAGCAACGCCGCGUGCGGGAUGACGGCCUUCGGGUUGUAAACCGCCUUCGCCUGUGACGAAGCGUGAGUGACGGUAAUGGGUAAAGAAGCACCGGCUAACUACGUG